rnacentral:misc_RNA from 1 species
GAUGAAGAACGCAGUGAAAUGCGAUAAGUAAUGUGAAUUGCAGAAUUCAGUGAAUCAUCGAAUCUUUGAACGCACAUUGCGCCCGCUAGUAUUCUGGCGGGCAUGCCUGUCCGAGCGUCAUUUCAACCCUCAAGCCCCCGGGCUUGGUGUUGGGGAUCGGCGAGCCUCCGCGCCCGCCGUCCCCUAAAUCUAGUGGCGGUCUCGCUGUAGCUUCCUCUGCGUAGUAGCACACCUCGCACUGGGAAACAGCGCGGCCACGCCGUUAAACCCCCAACUUCUGAACGUUUGACCUCGGAUCAGGUAGGAAUACCCGCUGAACUUAAGCAUAUCAAUAAGCGGAUGA